UACGAAGGGGGCUAGCGUUGCUCGGAAUCACUGGGCGUAAAGGGUGCGUAGGCGGGUAUUUAAGUCAGGGGUGAAAUCCUGGAGCUCAACUCCAGAACUGCCUUUGAUACUGAAGAUCUUGAGUUCGGGAGAGGUGAGUGGAAAUGCGAGUGUAGAGGUGAAAUUCGUAGAUAUUCGCAAGAACACCAGUGGCGAAGGCGGCUCACUGGCCCGAUACUGACGCUGAGGCACGAAAGCGUGGGGAGCAAACAGG
rnacentral:rRNA from 1 species